rnacentral:rRNA from 1 species
UUGUAGCCUGCUAUGGUAUAACUUAGUGGCAGACGGGUGAGUAAUAUAUAGGAAUCUACCUAGUAGUACGGAAUAAUUGUUGGAAACGGCAACUAAUACCGUAUACGCCCUACGGGGGAAAAAUUUAUUGCUAUUAGAUGAGCCUAUAUUAGAUUAGCUAGUUGGUGGAGUAAUAGCCUACCAAGGCAAUGAUCUAUAGCUGAUCUGAGAGGAUGAUCAGCCACACUGGAACUGAGAUACGGUCUAGACUCCUACGGGAGGCAGCAGUGGGGAAUAUUGGACAAUGGGCGAAAGCCUGAUCCAGCCAUGCCGCAUGAGUGAAGAAGGCCUUUGGGUUGUAAAGCUCUUUUAGUGAGGAAGAUAAUGACGGUACUCACAGAAGAAGUCCUGGCUAACUCCGUGCCAGCAGCCGCGGUAAUACGGAGAGGGCUAGCGUUAUUCGGAAUUAUUGGGCGUAGAGGGCGCGUAGGCUGGUUAGUAAGUUAAAAGUGAAAUCCCGAGGCUUAACCUUGGAACUGCUUUUAAAACUGCUAACCUAGAGAUUGAAAGAGGAUAGAGGAAUUCCUAGUGUAGAGGUGAAAUUCGUAAAUAUUAGGAGGAACACCAGUGGCGAAGGCGUCUAUCUGGUUCAAAUCUGACGCUGAGGCGCGAAGGCGUGGGGAGCAAACAGGAUUAGAUACCCUGGUAGUCCACGCUGUAAACGAUGAAUGUUAAAUAUGGGAAGUUUACUUUCUGUAUUACAGCUAACGCGUUAAACAUUCCGCCUGGGGACUACGGUCGCAAGAUUAAAACUCAAAGGAAUUGACGGGGACCCGCACAAGCGGUGGAGCAUGUGGUUUAAUUCGAUGCAACGCGAAAAACCUUACCACUCCUUGACAUGAAAAUCAUACCUAUUC